CAUGUGGUUUAAUUCGAAGCAACGCGAAGAACCUUACCAGGUCUUGACAUCCCCGACAACCCAAGAGAUUGGGCGUUCCCCUUCGGGGGACAGGGUGACAGGUGGUGCAUGGUUGUCGUCAGCUCGUGUCGUGAGAUGUUGGGUUAAGUCCCGCAACGAGCGCAACCCUCGCCUCUAGUUGCCAGCAUUCGGUUGGGCACUCUAGAGGGACUGCCGGCGACAAGUCGGAGGAAGUGGGGAUGACGUCAAAUCAUCAUGCCCCUUAUGACCUGGGCUACACACGUGCUACAAUGGGCGGUACAAAGGGCUGCGAACCCGCGAGGGGGAGCGAAUCCCAAAAAGCCGCUCUCAGUUCGGAUUGCAGGCUGCAACUCGCCUGCAUGAAGCCGGAAUCGCUAGUAAUCGCGGAUCAGCAUGCCGCGGUCGAAUACGUUCCGGGCCUU
rnacentral:rRNA from 1 species